UUAAGCGACUAAGCGUACACGGUGGAUGCCCUGGCAGUCAGAGGCGAUGAAGGACGUGCUAAUCUGCGAUAAGCGUCGGUAAGGUGAUAUGAACCGUUAUAACCGGCGAUUUCCGAAUGGGGAAACCCAGUGUGUUUCGACACACUAUCAUUAACUGAAUCCAUAGGUUAAUGAGGCGAACCGGGGGAACUGAAACAUCUAAGUACCCCGAGGAAAAGAAAUCAACCGAGAUUCCCCCAGUAGCGGCGAGCGAACGGGGAGCAGCCCAGAGCCUGAAUCAGUGUGUGUGUUAGUGGAAGCGUCUGGAAAGGCGCGCGAUACAGGGUGACAGCCCCGUACACAAAAAUGCACAUACUGUGAGCUCGAUGAGUAGGGCGGGACACGUGGUAUCCUGUCUGAAUAUGGGGGGACCAUCCUCCAAGGCUAAAUACUCCUGACUGACCGAUAGUGAACCAGUACCGUGAGGGAAAGGCGAAAAGAACCCCGGCGAGGGGAGUGAAAAAGAACCUGAAACCGUGUACGUACAAGCAGUGGGAGCACGCUUCGGCGUGUGACUGCGUACCUUUUGUAUAAUGGGUCAGCGACUUAUAUUCUGUAGCAAGGUUAACCGAAUAGGGGAGCCGAAGGGAAACCGAGUCUUAACUGGGCGUUAAGUUGCAGGGUAUAGACCCGAAACCCGGUGAUCUAGCCAUGGGCAGGUUGAAGGUUGGGUAACACUAACUGGAGGACCGAACCGACUAAUGUUGAAAAAUUAGCGGAUGACUUGUGGCUGGGGGUGAAAGGCCAAUCAAACCGGGAGAUAGCUGGUUCUCCCCGAAAGCUAUUUAGGUAGCGCCUCGUGAAUUCAUCUCCGGGGGUAGAGCACUGUUUCGGCAAGGGGGUCAUCCCGACUUACCAACCCGAUGCAAACUGCGAAUACCGGAGAAUGUUAUCACGGGAGACACACGGCGGGUGCUAACGUCCGUCGUGAAGAGGGAAACAACCCAGACCGCCAGCUAAGGUCCCAAAGUCAUGGUUAAGUGGGAAACGAUGUGGGAAGGCCCAGACAGCCAGGAUGUUGGCUUAGAAGCAGCCAUCAUUUAAAGAAAGCGUAAUAGCUCACUGGUCGAGUCGGCCUGCGCGGAAGAUGUAACGGGGCUAAACCAUGCACCGAAGCUGCGGCAGCGACACUAUGUGUUGUUGGGUAGGGGAGCGUUCUGUAAGCCUGUGAAGGUGUGCUGUGAGGCAUGCUGGAGGUAUCAGAAGUGCGAAUGCUGACAUAAGUAACGAUAAAGCGGGUGAAAAGCCCGCUCGCCGGAAGACCAAGGGUUCCUGUCCAACGUUAAUCGGGGCAGGGUGAGUCGACCCCUAAGGCGAGGCCGAAAGGCGUAGUCGAUGGGAAACAGGUUAAUAUUCCUGUACUUGGUGUUACUGCGAAGGGGGGACGGAGAAGGCUAUGUUGGCCGGGCGACGGUUGUCCCGGUUUAAGCGUGUAGGCUGGUUUUCCAGGCAAAUCCGGAAAAUCAAGGCUGAGGCGUGAUGACGAGGCACUACGGUGCUGAAGCAACAAAUGCCCUGCUUCCAGGAAAAGCCUCUAAGCAUCAGGUAACAUUAAAUCGUACCCCAAACCGACACAGGUGGUCAGGUAGAGAAUACCAAGGCGCUUGAGAGAACUCGGGUGAAGGAACUAGGCAAAAUGGUGCCGUAACUUCGGGAGAAGGCACGCUGAUAUGUAGGUGAAGUCCCUCGCGGAUGGAGCUGAAAUCAGUCGAAGAUACCAGCUGGCUGCAACUGUUUAUUAAAAACACAGCACUGUGCAAACACGAAAGUGGACGUAUACGGUGUGACGCCUGCCCGGUGCCGGAAGGUUAAUUGAUGGGGUUAGCGGUAACGCGAAGCUCUUGAUCGAAGCCCCGGUAAACGGCGGCCGUAACUAUAACGGUCCUAAGGUAGCGAAAUUCCUUGUCGGGUAAGUUCCGACCUGCACGAAUGGCGUAAUGAUGGCCAGGCUGUCUCCACCCGAGACUCAGUGAAAUUGAACUCGCUGUGAAGAUGCAGUGUACCCGCGGCAAGACGGAAAGACCCCGUGAACCUUUACUAUAGCUUGACACUGAACAUUGAGCCUUGAUGUGUAGGAUAGGUGGGAGGCUUUGAAGUGUGGACGCCAGUCUGCAUGGAGCCGACCUUGAAAUACCACCCUUUAAUGUUUGAUGUUCUAACGUUGACCCGUAAUCCGGGUUGCGGACAGUGUCUGGUGGGUAGUUUGACUGGGGCGGUCUCCUCCUAAAGAGUAACGGAGGAGCACGAAGGUUGGCUAAUCCUGGUCGGACAUCAGGAGGUUAGUGCAAUGGCAUAAGCCAGCUUGACUGCGAGCGUGACGGCGCGAGCAGGUGCGAAAGCAGGUCAUAGUGAUCCGGUGGUUCUGAAUGGAAGGGCCAUCGCUCAACGGAUAAAAGGUACUCCGGGGAUAACAGGCUGAUACCGCCCAAGAGUUCAUAUCGACGGCGGUGUUUGGCACCUCGAUGUCGGCUCAUCACAUCCUGGGGCUGAAGUAGGUCCCAAGGGUAUGGCUGUUCGCCAUUUAAAGUGGUACGCGAGCUGGGUUUAGAACGUCGUGAGACAGUUCGGUCCCUAUCUGCCGUGGGCGCUGGAGAACUGAGGGGGGCUGCUCCUAGUACGAGAGGACCGGAGUGGACGCAUCACUGGUGUUCGGGUUGUCAUGCCAAUGGCACUGCCCGGUAGCUAAAUGCGGAAGAGAUAAGUGCUGAAAGCAUCUAAGCACGAAACUUGCCCCGAGAUGAGUUCUCCCUGACUCCUUGAGAGUCCUGAAGGAACGUUGAAGACGACGACGUUGAUAGGCCGGGUGUGUAAGCGCAGCGAUGCGUUGAGCUAACCGGUACUAAUGAACCGUGAGGCUUAACCUU
rnacentral:rRNA from 1 species